rnacentral:lncRNA from 1 species
GCAACGUGCUGCCAUGCGCUUACGCUGCUCCGGCAGCGCCUGUGUGGAGCAGCCGGUUYGCGUGGCAAAAGCCACGUGCCGUGGGCAGCGUAUCCCUGCCGGAGCUGCCGCGGUGGGACGAGGGGGCGAGACCUGUGGGGCAGGGGAGCGCCCUGCGCACCCCUUCGCCAGGGGCUCCCUGGCUCCCUCCUGGUCCCGGCCGGUCUCCGGUCUCGCCACGCUGCGCAUGGGAUCCCCCGCAGCCUGCCGGCCCCGACGCGGCGUCCCCGGCCACCGCCGCAGAACCCCCCCGGCCACCACCGCCGCGUCGGCCGUGCAGGAGGAAGGGACGGAGACGGCGCUGCCCACCCGUGCACAGACCCCCCCGCAGCCCUCGCGCCUUUGCCACCUCCGCCCGCGUCCCCGUACGUGCCCCUGCCACCCCCGGCACCGGCGCGGGGCCCACCAGUGGGUCACACCGCUCCUUAGCGGCAGGGACGGAGGGGAGGGAAGGAGCAGAAAUGACCCCCGGCUCCUCGGCAGGGGAUGCCAAGUGGCCAUGGAGCUGCCAUUGCGCACACGGGGACCGGAGCAGGGACGGGCAUCCUACGGGACAAGGGUCUGGGGCAUCUCGGUGCAUCGCAGCCGCCCCCGUCCCAGGCUCUGACCCGGUCCCGGUCUCUCCUUCUGCCUCUGCCCCCAUUUCCCCCCUCGCAGUCACGCUGCCGGCUGAGCCCGGCCCCGUGCAGCUCCCCGCGGGCAGCUCCCACGCUCCUCCCGGGAGCGAGUCCCACAGCGGGACCAGCGGGACGUCUUGCUCUGUCCGUGCAAGCCGGGGCACGGCCRGGUUUCUAGCGGGACGGGAGGGCGGACCACCCGCCCGGCGCAGCGCCGCGGUCCCUGCACCGGGAGCAGCCCCUCGCUCGCCUCUCCGGGCUCUUCCUAGCCGGGGCCAGGAGGAAGGGAGGUGCGAGAGGAGGGGAGGGAGCGAAGCGGAGAAGGGGGGAGAGGUACUAACCCGGGCAGAUCGCGAUAUUGCAGGGCUUGGCCUGCACCUCGGGGCCCUCGCAGGCUUUGCCUCCGUGCUGCGGGGCCACGCACCGCCGCGUCCUGGUCCUGGCCCCUCGCCCGCAGGUCACCGAGCACAGGCUCCACGGGGACCACUCCUCCCACGCGCCGUGAACUGCAACACAGCACAGCGCGGUCACGCCGGCGCCCCCGGCGCGGGGAGUGCACAGGCACUCCCCCCUCCUCCUCCUCCUCCUCCUCCUCUUCCUCCCUCAGCCGUCCGGCAAAGAGCCGGGCUCGGCGGAGACCCCCUCGCCUCCCGGGAGCUGGGCACGGUGCCCGGCUCCCUCCAUCUCCCGCCGGCUCCGGCUGCCUCUUCCCCACCGUCACAGCCCGGUGCGAACCCCAAGGGCCUGGCGCGCACGCAGCGGCCGCCGCUUUCUGCCCCACUCCGAUCUCCCCGGGGGGGGACGGCCGGCGCAGCACGGCCCCCCACCUCCGCUCGCAGCCACGCGUGCCGGGCUCGUGCCGACGCGCCGGCCGGGCUCAGCACCGCCGCCCCCGCCAUGCACUGCUCCCGCGCAGCAAGCCGGGACCCGCAUCGCUCCCGAGCAUCCCAAAGGAUGCUCUCCAAGCCGAGGAGCCCCAGCGAACCCCAGCGGCGCUCCCCGACGCCUCCCAGGGCACGGGCACGGGACAGGGUCCCUGGGGCCCUGCCGAACCCCACCGUCUGUCCAGAUCCCGCACGAGAUGCACGGACCCCUCCGCGGGCACACGGGCAGCUCCUGCCUGCGCYCCACAUCUCGGCACCCCCCGGCGCUAACCAGGUGCGCGGCCCCGGCGCAGGCAGGGACGGCGAUCGCUGGCCCCGGAGACCUCCCUGCCCCGCGAGCCCGGGCGCCUGCGCCAGCCUCCCCUGGGCCCCCAACCUUGGAAGCACCCAGUGCUCCGGGGAACAUCGAACAGGAGCUGGGAGGGACGAGUUGGGUGCACGGGGGCAGGAGGGUGCAAAGGUGCUGCCUGUUGAGCUGCUCCCAAAGCCAAACCCACGGCCUGGUGAAGCAGGAGCCAGCAGGGCCGGCGGGACGGGACCGGACGGGAUGGGAYGGAUGGGAUGGGAUGGGACAGUCAGCCACGCAGAGCGGUGUUGCACCCGCUCCAGAUGCCGCCCCAGCCUUGUUGCUCCCGAGAGCCRACAGAGCAGGGGGAGGCAAACCGACGGCAUGGUGCCGCCAGGGAGGUUGGAGCAGCCCCGAGCUGGGCCAUCCGCCCCGGAUGCAGCGGGGUGGGAAACACCUGCUUCCAGCAGCCGUGCCGGCAUGGGCGGACAGAGCCAGCACCACCCCUGCAAACCCUCCGGCACCGCCAGCAUCGCCCCUUUCCAACACGGCAGAGACCGGCCGAACCCCCGGGAGACCCCCAGAAAUACGUGUCCCUGCUCUCCCCGGCCACCGGCUCCGGCGCGGGGCCACGCAGCGCCCCCGGACCCCCCCUCCCCGAGCCCCCGCGGGCCCGCGGCGCCGGUACCUGGGCAGGUGGCCGUGUUAUUGCAUGUCCGCGUCUCCCGCAGCAGCCCGCUGCACAGCGUCCCGUAGGGAGAGGAGACGCAGGAGCGCGUCCGCACCUGGGAGCCUUGCCCGCACGUCAGCGAGCAGACGCUCCACUGGGACCACUCCUCGGCCGCGGGGUCUCCUGCGGGGAGAGGUGGGCACGCGUGAGCUUCGGGGCUUCGGCCGCCCCGGCUGCCGCUCUCCAAACCCCCGGCAAGGCUGGAAGCGCCGGCGGGAGCUGGCACAGCCCGGCGUGUUCCCUGCUGAGGCAGGCGAGCCGGGCCGGGUGGAGGGAGCAGGGUGCUGCCCGUGGUUAUUUGGGGCUCGCCAGGGUGCCCCGGACCCGUCGGAGCGCGCGGGCGGAUCUGCAGGCCAGGCACGCAGGCUGAGCGUCCCUCCCGCCCGGGGACCCAUCCGUCUCCCCGCUCGCCUUGGAGCCCUCCCACCAUAAAUCAGGAGACGCUGUGGGGGGGGGCAGCACGCACAAAGUGCCCAGAUGAAUUUGCCAAAUAAAUACGUUUGAGAGAAACA